GAUGAACGCUGGCGGCGUGCCUAAUACAUGCAAGUCGAGCGAACGGACGAGAAGCUUUCUUCUCUGCUGUUAGCGGCGGACGGGUGAGUAACACGUGGAUCACCUACCUCUAAUACUGGGAUAACUUCGGGAAACCGGAGCUAAUACCAGAUAAUAUUUUCAACCGCAUGGUUCAAGAGUGAAAGACGGUCUUGCUGUCACUUAUAGAUGGAUCCGCGCUGCAUUAGCUAGUUGGUAAGGUAACGGCUUACCAAGGCAACGAUGCAUAGCUGACCUGAGAGGAUGAUCGGCCACACUGGAACUGAGACACGGUCCAGACUCCUACGGGAGGCAGCAGUAGGGAAUAUUGCGCAAUGGGCGAAAGCCUGACGGAGCAACGCCGCGUGAGUGAUGAAGGUCUUCGGAUCGUAAAACUCUGUUAUUAGGGAAGAACAUAUGUGGAAGAAUCUGUGCAUAUCUUGACGGUACCUAAUCAGAAAGCAACGGCUAACUACGUG
rnacentral:rRNA from 1 species